GCCGCCAUAGCUCAGCAGGUAGAGCGCUUGCCUUGUAAGCAAGAUGUCCGGGGUUCGAUUCCUCGUCGCGGCACCA
rnacentral:tRNA from 1 species